rnacentral:rRNA from 1 species
AUUGAACGCUGGCGGAAUGCUUUACACAUGCAAGUCGAGCGGCAGCGCGGGGCAACCUGGCGGCGAGCGGCGAACGGGUGAGUAAUGCAUCGGAACAUGUCCAUGUCGUGGGGGAUAGCCCGGCGAAAGCCGGAUUAAUACCGCAUACGCCCGAGAGGGGAAAGUGGGGGACCGCAAGGCCUCACGCGACUGGGUUGGCCGAUGUCCGAUUAGCUUGUUGGUGAGGUAAAGGCUUACCAAGGCGAUGAUCGGUAGCUGGUCUGAGAGGAUGAUCAGCCACACUGGGACUGAGACACGGCCCAGACUCCUACGGGAGGCAGCGGUGGGGAAUUUUGGACAAUGGGGGCAACCCUGAUCCAGCCAUUCCGCGUGAGUGAAGAAGGCCUUCGGGUUGUAAAGCUCUUUUGUCCGGAGCGAAACGGUGGCGGUGAAUAUCCGCCACUACUGACGGUACCGGAAGAAUAAGCACCGGCUAACUACGUGCCAGCCGCCGCCGUAAUAC